AUGGCGGUGAGGAUCUUGGUGUUCUUGGCCAUCUUUCUCUUCGUGGGACCAACGACAGACGGCAGGGAAGCCCAGCCGGCCGUGCCGGGGGUCAUGUUGUUUGGUGACUCGCUGGUCGGCGUGGGUAACAAUGAUUAUAUAGCCACCUUGGUGAAAGCAAACAAGGCUCCCUACGGUAGGGACUUCAAGGACCAUGUCGCUACAGGGAGGUUUGGAAAUGGAAAACUGCUUAGCGAUAUCAUAGGUGAGAAACUAGGGUUUAAUGGCUCUCCUCCUGCAUAUCUUAGCCCACAGGCAUCAGGGAAGAAUCUUUUGAUUGGAGCCAACUUCGCAUCUGCUGGAUCCGGCUACUACGACCCCACAUCACGUAUGUAUCAUGUAAUCCCUUUGUCCCGACAACUGGAGUAUUUCAAAGAGUACCAAUCGAAGCUGAGCGUGGUGGCUGGGAGUAACCAUGCUCGAUCCAUCAUCUCAGACUCACUCUAUAUUAUUAGCGCUGGAUCAAAUGACUUCGGCUUCAACUACUACAUCAACCCUUUGCUCUUCUUGACAGAGAAUGCUGAUCAGUUCUCUGAUCGCCUCGUUGGCAUCUUUAACAACACCGUGACGCAACUUUACGCUAUGGGAGCACGACGUGUUGGUGUUUUUUCAAUAGUGCCGUUGGGUUGCGCCCCAUUGGCGAUCACGGUGUUUGGCCUUGGGAGAAGCAGGUGUGUGCCAAGGCUCAACGAUGAUGCACGAAGGUUUAAUGGGAAGUUGGAUGCAGCUGUUGACUCGCUGUCGAAGCGAUACAAUGAUCUUAGGAUUGCUGUUCUGGACAUCUACACACCAUGGCACAGCCUUGCGACCUCCCCUGGGGCACAUGGGUUCACUGAGGCAAGGCACGGAUGUUGUGCUACGGGAUUAGUGGAGUUCACAGUGUUCCUUUGUAAUUCUUUGUCCAUUGGGACAUGUCCGAACGCGACGACAUACGUGCAUUGGGACUCCAUCCACCCGUCGGAGGCAGCGAACAGAGUGAUCGUAGAUUCUCUCGCUGAGAGGAUCAACAAGCUGGUUAUGUAA
rnacentral:rRNA from 1 species